CGACACCGUCUGCCCGCGGGGCCGCGGCGUCGGCGACCCGCGCUUCCACCCGCGCCGCUGGAUGAUGCUGCCGGAGGGCCACGGCAUCCACCCCGGCCACACCAAGCUCGGCGGGCGCGUCCGCUUCCUGAACCUCGACACGGGGCCUUCGUCCGCGCCAAGAUCCCGCUGUUCAAGAACCACUGCGCCCUGGACUCCGUCGACGGCCUGCUCCUCCUCCAGAGGGACGAAGACACCGCCGUCCGUCUCCUCCACCCUUUCACCGGCGACAUCCCCGAGCUCCCGCCGCUGUCCACCCUCCACACGCAGCUGGAGAGGAAUCUUGACAGACUACCUGAGCAGGAUAUCUGGUACUACAUCAGAUACGGCAUAUGUGCUGCUGCCUCAUUCAGUUCUGGAGUUUGCACCGUCAUGCUUUUGUUUCACCGUCUACGACAAUUGGCCUUUGCUACCUCCCAGGAUCGGCAGUGGACCAUGGCAAGCUGGGCAGUUCCACCUUGUAUCGAACCCUUCUCAUUCCGUGGCAAGCUAUAUUUGGUGUGCAAGCAAAUAGGUGCCACGCAGUUUCUCCAGAUAGAUCCUCCACCCCUGCAGGAUGAGGCAGGGGAAUUGGGUUCUCGGCAGCCGGCAUUACCUAAGUUGAUCGCCACAUGCCCGGCAGACAUUCUCUCAUACCCUGCCUACCUGGUAGAAUGUGACUCGGAGAUCUUGGUUGUCGGCCAUACUGACCUUUCCUUUUCUCACAUUCUAGUUUACAAACUUGUGGACAUUAUGUUGGGAAGGUUUAUCCCGGUGACGAGCAUUGGAGAUCAUGCCCUCUUCAUCGAUGAAAGAACUCUCUAUGUCUCCUCUAAGGCAUUGCCUACCAUCAUGGCCGACUCGAUCGUCUACAGAAAGAUAAAGUCUCGCGAAUUUGCUCAGUACCACCUCAGGAGCGGCACUUGGUCUCAAGCAGUCGACGAAUGCGCCCUCAGAGGCUAUGACCCGGGUCCUCGUAGCCUCAUCCACCAUAUCAUUACCUGCCUCCUUCGCAGUGUUUGG
rnacentral:rRNA from 1 species